rnacentral:rRNA from 1 species
GGCGGACGGGUGAGUAACACGUGAGCAACCUGCCUAUCAGAGGGGGAUAACGAUUGGAAACGAUCGCUAAUACCGCAUGACAUAGCGGAACCGCAUGGUUCUGUUAUCAAAGAUUUUAUCGCUGAUAGAUGGGCUCGCGUCCGAUUAGAUAGUUGGUGGGGUAACGGCCUACCAAGUCGACGAUCGGUAGCCGGACUGAGAGGUCGAACGGCCACAUUGGGACUGAGACACGGCCCAGACUCCUACGGGAGGCAGCAGUGGGGGAUAUUGCACAAUGGGGGAAACCCUGAUGCAGCGACGCCGCGUGAGGGAAGACGG